rnacentral:sRNA from 1 species
UAAAUUUUUCUUAUGCGGUGAAUCCCCCUUUGCGGUGGGGCGUCCAGUCGAAAUACAUAAUGUUCCGCGCGGGCCAUAUUGACUGUGGUAUGGUUCACCGGGAGGCACCCGGCACCGCUAUUCUUUAUGAAAGGCAUUUAUCCUCCAGCUCCAGUGCGGCAGGCUUUU